UACGUAGGCAGCAAGCGUUGUUCGGAGUUACUGGGCGUAAAGGGUGCGUAGGCGGCUUUUUAAGUUUGGUGUGAAAUCUCCCGGCUCAACUGGGAGGGUGCGCCGAAUACUGAGAGGCUAGAGUGUGGGAGAGGAAGUGAGUACUUCGUGGUGUAGCGGUGAAAUGCGUCAGAUAUCAGGAGGAACACCCGUGGUGUAAAGC
rnacentral:rRNA from 1 species